rnacentral:rRNA from 1 species
GAUGAACGCUAGCGGCAGGCCUAACACAUGCAAGUCGAGGGGCAUCACGGGUAGCAAUACUUGGUGGCGACCGGCGCAAGGGUGCGUAACGCGUGAGCAACAUGCCCGUAUCAGGGGGAUAAUCUAGGGAAACUUAGUCUAAUACCCCAUAGCAUUAUUAAUCGGCAUCGGUUAAUAAUUAAAGCUUUGGUGGAUACGGAUUGGCUCGCGUGACAUUAGUUAGAUGGUAAGGUAACGGCUUACCAUGACUAUGAUGUCUAGGGGUUCUGAGAGGAAGAUCCCCCACACUGGAACUGAGACACGGUCCAGACUCCUACGGGAGGCAGCAGUGAGGAAUAUUGGACAAUGGAUGGAAAUCUGAUCCAGCCAUGCCGCGUGCAGGAAGACGGUCCUAUGGAUUGUAAACCGCUUUUAUAUGGGAGCAAUAAGGUCUUUGCGAAGACUGAUGAGAGUACCAUAUGAAUAAGCAUCGGCUAACUCCGUGCCAGCAGCCGCGGUAAUACGGAGGAUGCGAGCGUUAUCCGGAUUUAUUGGGUUUAAAGGGUGCGUAGGCGGUCUGAUAAGUCAGUGGUGAAAGUUUUCAGCUUAACUGGAAAAAUGCCGUUGAUACUGUCAGGCUAGAAUAUGGUUGCUGUGAGUGGAAUGUGUGGUGUAGCGGUGAAAUGCUUAGAUAUCACACAGAAUAUCGAUUGCGAAGGCAGCUCACAAAGCCAUUAUUGACGCUGAGGCACGAAAGUGUGGGGAUCAAACA